rnacentral:tRNA from 1 species
UGGGAGGAUAGCUAUGUGAAAAGUACUAUAUUUACGAUAUGGUGAAGCUCGUUUGACUCGGGUUCCUCUUAG